CCGGGACAAGCAGCUUGGGGAGGAAAGGGCAUUUAUUGGGCUUUCAAAUCACUUUAUCACUGAAGAAGUCAGGGCACGAACCUGGAGGCGGGAACUAAUGCAGGGGAGCUGCUUACCAUGGUUUUCUCCGCCUGCUUUCUAAUAGAACCCAGGACCACCAUUCCAGGGAUAGCACCACCCACAAUGGGCUGGGCCCGCCCCACCAAUCAAUCAAGAAAAUGCCUUACAGGCUUGCCUUCAGCCCAUUUUCUUAAUUCCUCUCAGGUGACUUUAGCUUUUGUCAAGUUAACACAAAACUAUCACUCGUAAUCAUCCCUUGUCAGUUUUACAAACACAUAUUGUAAAGCCACAGCCUUUCUUGUUCAUCCCCAAGGUCCACAUUAACAUAAACAUCACAAUGUAAACCAUUUUACAGACUGUAGGCAGUUUUUGUGUUUUGUCAGUCAUCUCUGUCCAGCCAGCUGGUUCCCAAAUAACCACACAAAGACUUAUCAUUAAUUAUAAAUGCUCGGUUGAUAGCUUAGGCUUGUUAAUAACCAGCUCUUACAUCUUAAACUGACCCAUGUUUCUUACCAAUGCUCUACCACAUGGUGGCACUUUUUCUCCUGCUUCCUCUGUGUCUGGCUGGUGACUCCCUGGGACUUUACCUACUCCUCCCCCGAGCACCCUUUUUCACUGUCCAAAGUCCUGCAACCUCUGCCUGUCUAUUGAACAUUAGCUCUUUAUUAAUCCAAUGAGAGCAGCACAUAUUCACAGUGUACAAAAGGAUGUUCUGCAGCACACAAUCUUACAAAGUCAAAUACUAAAAAUUAAGUCUCAAAAAAAAAAAAAAAACCAAAACUCCAACGCCUUUAAAAGCCAAAAGUCAAGUGUGGGCUCCUACAAAGUAAAAAACUAAGUGAAAUACUUUAUUUCAAGAGGGAAGAACCAGGGUGAAGUCAUAAUAAGAUUUAAAAAGUUCCAACAGCAUAAAUUACUCAAUGUCCAGUAUUUGUGAUUAACUCACUGUCUUCAUGGCUCUUCCAAAGGGCUUGGGCCACGCCUCUGACUCUGCAAUGAACACAGCUGUCCUCUGGGCUCAGGCUGGCUCCACUGCGCAGCUGCUGGUGGUGGUCGUUGUCCCACGGUGCAAAACGUUGGGAUUUUCUGCUACAACCGGGCUGUACUUUCACCAGCAGCCUCUCCUGGGCCCAUUUCACGUUGCCCAGCCUCAGCCUCUCUGCAUGACCCCUUCAAGCUGGAGACUUCAUCUGCUGCUGAGGCUGCACCUUUACGGGUGGCCUCUCAACAGUGCCAAGCCUCAGCUGUUCUCCAUGACCCCUUCAUGUCUUCAAAACCAGUACCACCUGGGAGUCUUACACAUUAUCGGUUGGCUCCCAGCACAUGGUACAACCAAGGGCACCCCAAAAACAGCUUGUGUGUGGACUCUCAGGAUAAUACUUCUUAGAAGCUUCACCUUAGUGAUGUUGGUCUCUUCUGAACCACAACUGGUCCUUCAGCUCCAGCUGACCAACAUCCAUUGCUCUGGCAAAGCAAAGGUUUUACUUUAGUGGUUCUGGUCUCUUGGUAACCACAGCCAAUUCUUCAGCUCCAGCUGACCAGACACCACAGAUUCUUCACAUGAAUGCCCCAGAGUCUUUCCUCCCUCCUGAAACUUCACAAGCCAGGCCUCUAAUCGUUUGCACUGCUCUCAAGAUUCCUAUCGUCCAAGCUCCCACAGAACAGCCCACUGAGCUCUCAAUGCUUAAUGGUUUUUCUAGACCAGAGUUCCAAAGUCCUUCCAUAACCCUGUCUAAGACAAUAUCAUCAGCGGUAUCCCAGCAUUAACUUACUCCUGGUACCAGUUUCUGUCCUAGUUAGGGUUAUCUUUGUGAUGAAACACCAUGACCAGAGUAGCUGGGGGAGGAAAGGGUUUAUUUGGCUUACCCUUUGACUUUACUGUUCGCCGAAGGAAGUCAGGACAGGAACUCAAGCAGGGAUCUGGAGGCAGGGGCUGAUGCAGAGGCCGUGGAAGGUGCUGAUUUGUUGCAGGAUAUCUGAUCACAGUGUGAACCCUGAGAUUGCAUUAUUUACUGGAAAAACCUUUCUAGUUGUGGCAUGGUUCGGCCCUAUCAAACCCUUUUAAAAGAUUAACUAAACCCAACCAUAGAUCCAGAGGUGGUGCAAGCAACCGUUAGAAAAAAAAAAAAGCUAGAGAGAGUGGGAGGAAGUCAGGAAGACAGCUAGAAAGUGCACAGGAAGUACGAGGGCGGGACUUCUGGUUUGGGAUGGUGGCUGAAGAGAUGCUCUCUUUGCAGGAAGGCAACAACGGAGGAAGCGGCUGUGUGUUUUCCUGACUCUCUGAGCUGGUG
ensembl:lncRNA